rnacentral:rRNA from 1 species
CUAGCGACUUCAGAGUUUGAUCCUGGCUCAGGAUGAACGCUGGCGGCAUGCCUAAUACAUGCAAGUCGAACGAAAGGCUUCGGCCUUUAGUGGCGAACGGGUGAGUAACACGUAGAUAACCUGCCCUCAAGACUGGGAUAACCGAUGGAAACGUCCGCUAAUACCGGAUAGGUAAUAGGAAGGCAUCUUCUUAUUAUUAAAGAUGGGACACAUCGCUUGAGGAUGGAUCUGCGCUGCAUUAGCUAGUUGGUGGGGUAACGGCCCACCAAGGCGAUGAUGCAUAGCCGGCCUGAGAGGGUGAACGGCCACAUUGGGACUGAGACACGGCCCAA